rnacentral:rRNA from 1 species
UACGAGGGGGGGCAAGCGUUGUUCGGAAUUAUUGGGCGUAAAGGGUGCGUAGGCGGUUUGGUAAGUCUGAUGUGAAAUCUAUGGGCUCAACUCAUAGUCUGCAUCGGAAACUGCCGGGCUUGAGUGUGGGAGAGGUGAGUGGAAUUCCUGGUGUAGCGGUGAAAUGCGUAGAUAUCAGGAGGAACACCUGUGGCGAAAGCGGCUCACUGGACCAUAACUGACACUGAGGCACGAAAGCGUGGGUAGCAAACAGG